rnacentral:lncRNA from 1 species
GCACUUCUUUGCAAUGUUGGCAACUCCCUUAAGCUGCCUAAUAUUAUCCUGGUUCACCAUGCAAUCCUGAAGAAUAUGGACCAGGCGAUCUUCUUUCAGUGCACAAAGAAAAUACGAUGAUAAAUUCCUCUCCCCCUCAGGCUUAUGGAAGGAAAUUGCCUUCAUCCCAGUUAGUAGUUCCACAAGAACCACUCCAAAACUGUAAACAUCACUCUUGUCCGUCAGUUGGCUUGUGUGCAAGUACUCAGGGUCUAAGUAUCCUAGAGUACCUUGCACCAUCGUUGACAAUUCAACUUGAUCCAACGGAAUUAACCUAGAAGUGCCAAAAUCUGACACUUUCGCCGUGUAACUGUUGUCCAGGAGUAUGUUUGUAGACUUGACAUCCCUAUGAAUGAUUGGCACAGAAGCUGCGGAAUGCAAAUAUGAUAGAACACCUGCAGUUUCAGAAGCUAUCUUUAAACGGAUUUCCCAGGUGAGGGCCGACACCUUACUCUUGUCGUGAAUGUGGUCAUAGAGGGUGCCAUUUGCAACAUAUUCAUAAACUAGUAAUGGGACUUCUGUCUCCAAGCAACAUCCUAGAAGCUUCACCACAUUCCUGUGAUUGAUUUGGUAAAGAACAACCACCUCAUUGAUAAACUGCUCGAUUUGGCUAUGAUCGAUUGUUUUGGACUUCUUGAUUGCAACAGUUCUUCCAUCAGUUAAAGUUCCCUUGUAAACUGUACCAAAACCUCCUCGGCCAAGAAUUCUACUUUCAUGGUACUUGUCAGUGGCUUUCUCGAGUUCUGCAGCUGAAAAGAUUUUUGCCGUUUCUGUAACGGGUCCUUCCCUUCUUGAUAGCUGCUGCUCCAGCAUUAGACCACCAUUUUGCCUAAAGAACUUCUCUUUGAGCUUCAUUAGCUUCCAUUUACUGUAUCCCCAGUACAGCCAAGUAAUUCCCAUCAACAAAGAUGUCAGUCCCGCUCCAAUUCCUACAUGUACAAGGAUGUUGAAACAUUAAUUUGUAAUUAAUUAUGUACAUUGCAGAUAAAAUUCGUCCAAAUUGAGCAAGUAUACCCGAAUGGGGUUAAGAUCAUAGGGGAAAUUAUUGCAAUUUUUUGCUUCUGUUUAGCGAGUAAACCUUUCGAUUUAAUAAGAAAUAUUUGAAAUCAUGUAUAAAAGGUGGAGGGAAAAAAAUUUCCCAUCAAGAAGUUCCGGUUGAAAUGAUCCCGCGGCAAUAUAGAAUAAAUUAAAAACGAGUACAUUUGUAGUGGAUUUGACUUUGAAAAGUUGUGGGCUUUGAAGUUCCAGAGUUUAUAUGGAUCAAAUUAGAUUCCUCUCAGUUUUGUUUUCUGAAAUACCAAGGGCUGCAAAUUUGAGAUGAAAUAAAUCUAGAAUAGUGUCUGGAUAUUUCAAGUCACUUUUGCUCGCCAGCUACUUCAAAUUUUAUUGAUAAAAUAAAUUCUAGCCAAAGCUCUGACAUCCGGUCAAGCAUUUAUCACAAUACUUCUAAACAACUGCAUGAAUUUCAGUAUAUACUUUGAAAAUGUAAGAAUCCUGAAAAGAAAAUUAACAAAAAUCUACACUCAAUUCCUGCUACAAGAGGCCAGUAUGAGUAUUAAACUUAGGUCUCUGAUGGAGGGAACCAAGUAUUAGGAUGAACUAGAAGUAGGGACUGUGAUAUAGUUUUAAUAAUACUGCCUAUCACAGCCUCAUCUAAAUAACAAGAACUAAAAAUUGGCACAUGUAUAUAUCCUAUCCAAAUUAAAAUGAGAAAACAAAAAAACAAACAGUUACCUUUAAUGGCACAUGAAAGAUCUAUACACAAUAGUAUGUACAUGAACAUCGGGAUUGAAAAUGAAGAGGAUGAUAUACGAACUUACCGACAGCGACCUGAAUCACUGAUGAUCGAUUGCGGAUGCAGCGUUCUCCAUCUAUUCUCCCAUCUCCAUGGUACCCCUUGGGGCAAGAACAUGUAUAAUUCCCUUCGGUGUCGAUGCAAUUGUGGCUGCAAUUGCGGGCUACUUUUGGAUCUGAGCAUUCAUUAAUGUCUGCAGAAGCAUCAUAAAGAGAAGCCUUUAUGUAAAACUAUAGUAAAUUCUCAUAAUUUCAAGUAAUCCAAUCUCGAAAAAUCAGAUUAGAGAUCUCCUCGAAAUCAAUUACAAAUAAUUUAACUUUCUCUUUAUGUAAGUAAAAAAUUAUAUAAAAAAAAAGGGAUAAAAUUAAGAAGAAAAAAUGCAUACUUUGGCAACCAUUUGGGAGGUAUGGAUUUCCUUGAUAGCCAUCUAAGCAUUUGCAAAUGUACCCAGACCCAUUUUCAGGGUCAUGACAUUUGCUCUGUCCUUGACAUGCAUUAGACAUCUUGUUCUUUUCCAAGGUUUCGCAUUUAUUGCGCCCAAUACUCCAAUCCACUAUAAUAGGAACCUUACGUACUUGCUCCAAAUCCGACAGGUUACUUGGGAAAAAGCUGAACUGCUUUUUUUCAAUCAUGAAGGCAAAGCUGCAAGGAUUGAAUUCCCAGAUUCCCGUAUGAUUAGUCUCACUAGACAAGCGCACUUCGAAGUACUUCAUUCCUUUGGCAAUGGAGGUUUGGCAGCAACCAACUCCGGAGCAUGUGUUUGGUACAACUGUUUUGUUGCUACAUUCGGAAAUGCAUCCUACCAGGUAUGUAUCAUUCGUGUCUUCUCGGAUACCUAGCAGUCCAGCGUAAGUAUCACAGCCGAUAGCGACGAACAUAUUGUCAGUGUCAGAAAAAACGUACGGACCUUGGACGGGUAGGUUUAUCCAGGGUAUGUUUCUCGUUGUUCGUGCACCUGCCCGAUUAUAGCAAUCCUUAGCUAUAUAUUGCAUGAGACGUAGCUUCCCAUCAAGGGUUAUUUCUGUGACACUCAAGUUACCAUUUCCUAAAAACGCUUUUGGAGGAUUGAAAGUAUGGUUGCAAGUUAUGAGGAACUGAGGGUCGUAGUAGCAAUCUUCUCCCGUGCCGAAUGGAUAUGGGAUACUAACAUUCCCACAUCUAUCUUCUUGGCAUCCAGGCUUCGCUAUAGGAAGCUCUGUUGCUGCUGUGACUGCUGCUAACAACACUCCUGUUAUUGUGAACUGUAAGGCCAUUCCUCGAAUUCUCAUGACAGCUACUUUUCUGUUUAAUGAGGAUGGAGUCGGGUGGUGCAAAACUCACUGUGGCAGCUAGCCUUUUUUAUAAAGCAAAUUACCCCGAUACUGGUCGACGGAAGACCAAAUUAUUAGGCUUGAAUGCCAGUUGGGAUAUACGUGACUGAAUAUCUAAAAGAGCGUGUGGUAGAGGACUUGCAAGCAAGAACUUACUAGAAUCGAAGCCUUUUUUCAAGUGAAGCCCCCUAAUUUUGAAUAUGGAAGUGUCAGUACAUUUUUUCCUUGAGAAAUCUCAUUAUAAAAUUCCCAAACUUUGAGGUCAAUUUCAAUUAGGUCCUCGAUUUUUCUUAUCUCAAUUAGAACCUCGACGUAGGAAAGAAUUCUCAGCCAGAUCCAUCAUUUGAUCAUAGUCAGCAAAUUUACUUGCACUUGCUACGUGACAGAGGUUUGUGUAUUGGUAGCCGUCUGCCGUAAAUCAAACGGCGAGGCAAUUGAUUUCAAGAAAUUGCAUGGCAAAUAGAGUGGAUAUGCGACCUUCACUUGAGAGGUAACCUUUUAAAGUCAGCUAGAUUCCACCUUCACAGUCUAAUCCUGCGGGUCCACUUGUGGAGUUUACUUGCACUAGCCGUGUGGCAGAGGUUUGUGUACUAGUAGAUGUCUGCCGUUAAUCAAACGCUGGUGAAACAACGAAUUAUCUCACGCAUGACACAAACCCCUUUUAAAUCAAAAUCAAAAUUAUUUAAAAAAAAAAAAAAAACUAAAGGGGGAAGGAAGGUUAUUUUAGCCCAAAGGAACAAUUGUUAAUUAGCUAUUGAACCUUUGUUAAUUUCUCACAAACAAAAAUUCUUGCAGAGAAACAAUCUAUAGCAGGGUGUUUUUUAAGAGACCAGAGGUAACCUGAAAGAUAGUAGUAAUGUAAAGAAAAUAAUUCUUUUUAAAUCAAAAGUUAUCAUUUCAAGUUUCAACCGAAGCAUAAAUCCGAGGUUACCUACUCUUGAAUUUGAAGAGACGAUGGCGUUUCACGUUCAGGGGCUCUGAUUGGUUUUAAUUAAUAAAAAAAUUUAAAAAAAUGUAGAUGAACUAAUCGAAAUAUUAUAUAAAGUUUUGUUUUGUGAAAAAAUGUCUGAUUAACGUUGCGAGACUUAUCUCUCCCUAUUUCUCCAACUGACAACAGUUCAAAAAAAUGAAUUGGCAAUUUAGCACUACAAAUCAACGGUGCAGGCCAUUUAAAGAACAAAAAAAAAAACACAUUGAGUUCAUUAAUGUAUAGGGAUUAAAAUGAACUCCGAUGAUUUUUAACCAAUUCAUUAAAAAAAAAAAAAAGCUUCAGCCGCAAUCCCCAUCAAACAUGAAACAUCCAAUAUAUAAGGCAACAAACAGAUCCUUUUUUCUUUUAUAUAUAUAUAUAUAUAUAUAUAUAUAUCUUCUUUUACAAUCGAUACAGAAAUUCUGAUCUAGUUGAUCAUUUUGAAACCAAUAAAUGAAACUGAUUAAGAAAAAAACUGAAAAAGAAACCAAUUAAUAAUGAAUAUCCUCUUGGAGAAGAGAAAAACAAACAAAGAAAGGAAAGAUUCUUAUGAACAGCACACCAAUUUAAGGAGGGCACGCGCACACGAUUUCACAGAAAUAUAAAACAAUCCAAGGAAAUGAGAGGGAUCGUCGAUGUCUUCCAUGGGAAUAGAGUCACUAUCUUGUUGAGCUAGUGCUUCUUUUACUGCAUCCUCAUCUAUUUCAGAGCGAAUACGAUGAGUGCAAGUCUCUCUAUUCCUCAGACAAGAACUCAAUUAGUCUGGGUAUUUCAUUCUCACGGAUGUUUCUGUGGUAUUAAUCUUCAGUCAACAUGCUUCAAAAUUAUAAUUAAUUUCUCCUGAAAAUUUAAAUGCGUUUAAGUCUCCUCUCUUUGCAAACCUCGUAAAGAUUUUCUUGUCCCUUGCUUUGAAUUCGAUUAAUACAAGACGUCGACAAGGGAGAUAUAACCAAUUUCAAACCCGUUUCAUAAUUAGCAAGCCUUAAUCAAAGGCUUAGAAUUCGCCAUUGCAUGGAUUUCAGAAAGAGCAAACGUGGUUUUAAUUUUAUAUAUAUAAUCUAUAAUCCUCACCUGCAGGAACUAAAAUUAGCUUUUAAAAGUUCAUGCAUGGCAAAAACCUAAGGUGCCAAAAAUAAUUGCCCCACCAUAGCAAUAGCAAUGUGAAUGUUAUUCCAUUCUUCUACUGUAAAAAUUAGUUUGAGAUUUUAUAUAUUUUUAUUAACACAUGAUAUUUAUUAUAGUUUAUUAUAAGUAUUGAUCUUUUUUAUUUAUAAUUAUACUUUUUAAUUACUCGAUGUCAAAAAACACGUUAAUAACACCUAUACAUUAGUUUUUUUAUAUUAGAAAAGAAAAUUAUUUAACCUGCAGUAAGGCAAGUUGAUUAAACAUGAUAAAAUUUUGUUUUUUAUAUUUAUUAAUCUAAAAGUUCUUAAUAUAUAUUAAUUAAGUGAAUAGGCUUAGUUGAAUAAACCUAGGUGGUUUGUGAGUCAAUCAUAUGCUAUUAUUUAAAAUAUGGAGAUACCCGUAGUUCUUUUGCCCCAUACCUAGUAGCUACUGAGUAGGCUUCUACAGCCCAAUCUCAUAAUAAGCAAAUAGGGUAGACACAUCGUAGAAGAAAGGCUAGGAACAGAGAAAGAGCUGGUACUUUCUCUGGGAACUCUCUUCUUAUUUAAUUUAAGGCUCAUGGCUUCCUUGGAUGCUCUAUGGAGGGAUAUAAGACUUCUCUAUCUCCGUCUUCCUGAUUCCUGUUGAUUUCAUGUCUUGUCGGCAUUACCACAUUUGGAGUAAGAAAAGUAGGGGAGGUUUUCUUGUUCAAGCUGCGUUGGUCUUCUCUUUAAUAGCAUAGAUAGGUAGAAGAUAAAAAAGAAAAGAAUCUGGUUCUAGGAGCCUAGCUGCUAUAGUAUAGAAUCAUCAUCUUACUCUUUACCGGCAAGCAACCAAGGAGGAUGCCUAACCCAGCACAGGUCUUUCCUCACUCAGGAAUGCAGGUAGCGAAGCUAGACCGCUAAGAAGCCUUGAGCUCUUUCGUCUGUGGAAGGGCUAUCUACUUUUUUUCUUAUGUCCCAAGGGAAUUCGAGAAUAUUUGAUAGUGUGGUUGUGGUUGUUUUUUAAAUAAUUUUUUAUGCCGAAAUACAUGUCAAUAAUAUUUUUUUAAUUUUUAAAAAUUAUUUUUAACAUCAGCACAUCAAAACAUAUAAAACAUAUUAAAUUUUAACAAAAAAAAUUAAAUUUUUAAAAAAUAUGGUUUGCACUGCUUUCCCAAACCUAUUCGAUCAAUAAAGGGUGUUAGUAUUUUUUACAUAUAAUAUUUAUUUUGUUUUUUAUUUUAAUAUAUUUUUAAAUAAACAAAAAUUACUAUUACACUAUGUCUCUUCUAAGUCAAGCCGCCUUUUGAAUAUGGAAACGUAAGUACAUUUUUUUAUUAGAAAAUCUCAUUAAAAAAUCCCGAAAACUGUGAGGUUAAUAUCACUUAGGUACUCGUGUCCUUUUAAUUUCAAGAAAUAUCAUGGCAAAUUAAUUUCAAUAAAUUGCAUGGGAAAUAGAGUGGAUGUGCGACCUUAACUUGAUAGCUAACCUAUUAAAGUCAGCUAGAUUCCAUCUUCACAGUCUAAUUCUGCGGGGCCCACUUGUGGAAUUUACUUGCACUUGCCGUGUGGCAGAGAUUUGUGUACUAGCAGCUGUCUGCCGAAAUCAUACGCUGGUGAAACAUUCAGCAAUCUCACGCAUGACACAAACCCCUUUUAAAUUAAAUCAAAAUUAAUAUUUAAAAAAAAAAAAGAAGUAAAGGGGGGAGGGAGAUUAUUUUAGCCCAAAGGAACAAUCGUUACUUGGCCAUUGAACCUUUGCUAAUUUCUCACAAUCAACAAAAAUGAAUAGAUUUUAAAAAAAAUUAAGAAACAAUCUAAUCUAUAAUAGGGUGUUUUUAUUAGGGGUGUGCAAAAAAACCAAAAAACCGAGUAAACCGAGAAAACCGACGAAAAAUUAACCGAAAAAACCGAACCAAGAAAAAAAACCGAUUAAACCGAUAAGAAUAUUUAGAAAAAAUUUCGGUUCGGUUCGGUUCGGUUUUCGGUUUUGUAAUGCAGAAACCGGUUAACCCGGACCGAACCGAACCGGUUCAAAAAAAGGUCCCUAACCACCACUAGUAUAAAUAGAAACUUUUCCCCUCUUGCCUAACCCUAACAAACUAAAGAGCACCUGCCGUCCCACCCCCUCUCCCUCUCCCUCUCCCUCUCUGCUAACCCUAACCAGAGCACCCGCCAUCCCACCCCCUCUCCCUCUCCCUCUCUGCUAACCCUAACCAGAGCACCCACCCCAGUACUAGAGGCUCUCCCUCUCGCCUCUCCAAAAUAUUUUAGCCUAUCAGACAAGUUCUUGAGAGAACUCAGACAAGUUCUUUCGUUUAGUACGAGUACAUCACAGAAGCAUCAAUGGGUAAGCAUCAAAUUCCUCUCCUCUCCUUUUGUUUUUGGGUGAUGGGUUUUUGUUGAUGAGGUGAUUAGUCGUGUUUUAUUUCAGUUUUCAAGGAUUUUUGAUGUGGGAUCUGUGUGUUUCUUAUUUACCUUGUCAUUGGUCAUGGUUCUUCUUCAAGAAACCAACUUCUGGUUUUAUUGGCUGGUUUUGUUCUCAUAGUUUUUUUUUUGCCUUUUCCUCUUCAAAAUUUUUAAUUUCUACAGAGAGGUCAACGUGAGCUUUUCAAAUGACAUGGAUGAUGAAUAUGAGAAACUCUUUAGGAGAUUGAAUCCACCCAGGUAUGUAUUAUGCAGAUUCGUCAUCUUCUUUUUUUAAUUUUCUAAGUGAAAGUGACCUUAAAUUUUUCUCAUCAAGGUGUUAUUUAAAAUAACUUUGGUGUGUACACAUUCUAAUUUUCUUGAUUAUCCCGAUGUGCUCUGUAUAUAAUUCCUUUUGGUGUCUUGCAGGUUUUGUUAUUGAUGCAGAACCUUACUGUUAACUUGUCUAGCCCUGAUUUUGAGCCAUAUAUAAGUGUUAAUGUUUUGUAAGUAUGUUCAUAGCAGCUCUUACCAGCAUGCAUGUAUAUUGCCACUUAUUUUGGCUUAUUGAAAGAAUUCGUAAAUGUUAUGAUAUAUUGCAACCAUAAUCUGAGUAUUAUGGCAAAGCUGAGGUUUCAUUCAAUGCUAAAGUUUCAACAUGUUAGAUUUUGAAGUGAAAACAGAUUUACAUCCAUUUUGUUCAGUUUUUUUUCUCUUCUUUUUUUUAUGUCAGGGUUGUGAUUGAUAAUGAAGCUUGCAAGAAUGCUAUUGUCAUAAGGGUAAGAGUUUUGGUAUUUUUUUUUUUUUGAUGGGUGUGUGCUCUUCAGUCUUGCCCAUCAUUCUUGUUGUUUUUUGGGUACUAAAUAUUUCAUUGUGUUACAGGUUGAUAGUGCUAACAAACAUGGAAUACUUCUUGAAGUUGAUAGUGCUAACAAAAUGUGUUUAGGGAUAACCGCUUUUGCAAUUGAUUUUUUGGCUCAUGGAUUUAUGGAUUCUUUUGUAGGAAUAUUAUAUCAAGCAUAUUGAUGGGUCCCCUGUAAAAUUAGAGGCUGAGAGACAAAGGAUUAUACAAUGUCUUGAAGCAGCCAUUGAAAGAAGAGUAUCCGAGGUGAGUGAACUAUGGUACCCUCAAAUCUGAGAUCGUUCUUAAGGUUUACUCAUAAAACUCUCCUUGUUUUUACCAAAAUCAUGCAUCCAGCCACUAUAGUUUCAAGCUGUUCUGUAUUCCUUUCCUUGCUAUCAAAAUGUAGAUCUGUCAUAUAAUUGUAUUGAUUAUGUUGUUACUUGGGCAAUGGUGAGUUGGGUGAAGUUUAUAUACGGAAGAGGUGAUUUUAUUGCAAUGAUAAUGAUUGCAUGUUAAGAUAUGACUGGUGUCACUCACCAGUUAAAACACUCGUUAUUUUAUAUUUCAUGCCUUAUGUUUAGUUUCUUCUUUUUUGGUGGUAGAUGAUGAUGCAUUGAUUUUGUUAGAAAUUCACUCGCAUGCUUGUGCAGAAUGCUCCAUUCAAAGGACAGCUUGCUAUUGGGUUUUCUUGGUGUACUAAUAUACAACUUGUUGGGAACAACUGAUAGCAUGAUAGCAAAGGUUUAUUAGAUAUCUUUUGUGUUUUAUAAUAAUGGUAUUUGUUGUUUUUUCUUUAAGCCCUUUGAAGGCAAUGGUUUGUAAUUUGAAUUUUAACUUAUUAGUGUGUGAUUGUGAGUGUGUUAUUUAAAUUUUUUGGAAGCAGAAAAAUAUUAGGAAGGUAAAAAAUAUAUUGAACAUAAGAUUGACAUUAAUAAUUUCAUAUAAAUGAAUAUUCAAUGGCCAAAAAACUUAAUAAACAUAAGAGUGACAAUAAUAAUUUAAUACAAAUGAAUAUUUAGAGGUAAAAAAAUUAAAUAUACUUUUGGAUCUUCAAAGAAAAUUAGACAAUAUCAACAUUAAUUGCAAGCCCAUCAAAAAUCCAUUAAAAGCCCAUAAUAAAGCCCAUUAUGAAGCCCAAAAAAAUGCAUAUAGGUUUUUUCGGUUUUGGGCAUAAAAAACCGAACCGAAACCGAACCGAAACCGGUCGGUUUGGGCCGGUUUCGGUUCGGUUUCGGGUCUGUUUUUUUUUUUUUUUCGGUUUGGUUGUUUUUUAUGGGUAAAAACCGAACCGAACCGAAAAUGAUCACCCCUAGUUUUUAUAGAAAAUAUGGUAAAAAGAUAGUAAUGUGAAAAAUAAAAAUUUUCUUUUUAAAUAAAAAGUUAUCAUUUCAACUUACUUUUACUUUUCAUACUUUUUUAUUUAAUCUUUUUAUAAAUGACAAAACUAAAUUUUUCAAACUAAAUUCAUUUUAAGAUAUUUUUUUAGAUGAUAUCACAAAAACCCAAAUGAAAACGACACAAAACAAACUAUCAAGUCCAUUUACCAAUAAUCACAAUAUAAAAUGCUAAAAUUGAAAAAAAAUUAUAGCCAUAAUAAAAAAGAAAAUUAAGAAGAAUAUAAAAUAAAAACAUUGUUUGGAUCCACAAUGUUUUCAUUCAAAGACCAUAGUAAAAGACCGGGGCUUUUGACAGAGUGAAUUGAAGCAGUGACGUUAAAAUUAAGCAAAUAUCAGUUAUGAAUAAUUAACGAAGCAGCGAUGGUGGAGUCAAUCUGCAUGGAUUAAGCUCGAUGGUAAACAUAUCUUCGAUUCUUGAGGUUUGCCAAAUCCCAACUUGCUGAUAUUUAGCAGUGCAUCAUUCAGAAUCUCACCAGCCUGAUAAGCUAAAACCAAGCAACGAGUUCAAAGAUCUCGUUAGACUAAUAAACAAAUAGCUUCGACUGGACGGGUUUCUUACAAGAAUCAACCGAAGCAUAAAUCCGAGGUUACCUACUUAAUUUGAAGAGACGGUUGCGUUUCACGUUCAGGGGCUCUGCUUGGUUUUAAUUAAUAAAAAUUGUAGAUGAACUAAUCGAAAUAUUAUCUUAAGCUUUUUUUUGUGAAAAAAAAAACAUUUGUACAGGUAUUAAUUCUACAAAAGUAUACAGUUCAGGAACUCCGAUGAUUUUUAAUCAAUUCAUUAAAAAAAAAAAAAAGAAGAAGAAGCUCCAGCCGCAAUCCAGCAAACAUGAAACAUGAACUAUACAAGGCAACAAACAGAUCCUUUUUUCUUUUAUAUAUAUAUAUAUAUAUCUUCUUUUACAAUCGAUACAGAAAUUCUGAUCUAGUUGAUCAUUUUGAAACCAAUAAAUGAAACUGAUUAAAAAAAAAACAGAAAAAGAAACCAAUUAAUAAUGAAUAUCCUCUUGAAGAGAAGAGAAAAACAAACAAAGAAAGUAAAGAUUCUUAUGAACAGCACAACAAAUUAAGGGGGCAUGCACACACAAUUUCACAGAAAUAUAAAACAAUCCAAGGAAAUGAGAGGAUUGUCGAUGUCUUCCAUGGGAAUAGAGUCACUAUCUUGUUGAGCUAGGGCUUCUUUCACUGCAUCUUCAUCUAUCUUAGAGCUAAUACGAUGAGUGCAAGUCUCUCUAUUCCUCAGACAAGAACUCAAUUAGUCUGGGUAUUUCAUUCUCACGGAUGUUUCUGUGAUAUUAAUCUUCUGUCAACAUGCUUCAAAAUUAUAAUUAAUUUCUCCCGAAAAUUUAAAUGCGUUUAAGUCCCCUCUCUUUGCAAACCUCGUAAAGAUUUUCUUGUCCCUUGCUUUGAAUUCGAUUAAUACAAGACGUCGACAAGGGAGAUAUAACCAAUUUCAAACCCGUUUCAUAAUUAGCAAGCCUUAAUCAAAGGCUUAGAAUUCUCCAUUGCAUAGAUUUCAGAAAGAGCAAACGUGGUUUUAAUUUUAUAUAAUCUAUAAUCCUCACCAGGAACUAAAAUUAGCUUUUAAAAGUUCAUGCAUGGCAAAAACCUGAGGUGUCAAAAAUAAUUGCCCCACCGUAGCAAUUUCAACAUUGUUUCAUUCUUUUACUAUAUAAAAAUUAGUUUGAGAUGUUGUAUAUUUUUAUUAACACAUAUGAUAUUUAUUAUAGUUUAUUAUAAAUAAGUAUUGAUCUUUUUUAUUCACAUUUAUAUUUUUUACUCGAUGUCAAAAAACAUGUUAAUAACACCUACACAUUAAUUUUUUUAUACUAGAAAAGAAAAUUAUUUGACAUAUAGCGAGACGAGUUAAAUAAACAUGUUAAAACUUUAUUUUUUAUAUUUAUUAGCAUUUAUAGUUCUUAAUUUAUUUAAUUAAGUGAAUGUAUAGGGCUUUUUUUUAAUUUAUAAUUAGGAUAAAAAAACAAAAUUUAAAAGCUUGUAAAUUUAUUUUUUUUGCAAAAAGUAUAUACACAAGAGGAAUUGGGUUUUAACAAGAGCAGUGGUGGGGGUACCCUUCUCUGCCUAUUUGAUUGUGAUUGCUGCUUUUGAUGAUUCCUGCUGAUGGGUGUAUUUAUUAUAUCUUCGAUAUGCCUCUAAUUUGAUCCAUUAGCAAUCCCUGGACUCCUGAGAUUUAAUUGGUGAUUUCAUUAGCUGAGAAAUGCAUUACUUAAAAGACAUUAAUUUUAUGUUUUGGUCAAAAUAAAAGUCCAAAUAUCUCUACUGCCUUGAUUUCUAAAUACCUCAACAAUUUCAGUAUCAAACUGAAUUUGAUAUACAGUUUUGUAGCUUAAGAUUACAUUAAAAAAAAAAGUUCAAUAAUUUCUCAAUAGAGGUAUGAUAAUGGAUAUUCAGAAAUUGAGUUUAUGCUUUAUUCAUACUUCAUCUAUUACUUAUUGAGUUAUGCAUCAGGUUUAAAGUAUUCAUUCCGAUACGCAUUAUCUAAAUACUAAGAGUAAUAUAUAUAGUUGAUGCAUGCAUAUUAAAUGAUAAGAUAACAAAUAAAACUUUUAAAAACAACACCUAUUAUGAAGUAUUUUCUAAAUCAUGCCGUCUAAUUUUGAAUAUGAAAAUUUCAACACAUUCUUUCCUCUAAAAAUCUCAUUAAAAAAUCCCCAAACUAUAAGGAUAAUUUCACUUAGAUCCUCGUGUCUUCUUAAUUUCAAGAAAUAUUAUGGCAAAAUAAUUUUAAAAAAUUGCUUGGCAAAUAGAGUGGAUGUGUGACCUUGACUUGAUAGGUAACCUCUUAAAAUUAGUUAGAUUUCACUUUCACAGUAUAAUGCUAUGAAAUAUAUUCUAAGUCAAACUGCCUAAUUUUGAAUAUGAAAAUGUCAGUAUAUUUUUUUCUUGAAAAAUCUCAUUAAAAAAUCUCCAAACUAUAAGGUUAAUUUCACUUAGGUUCUCGUGUCUUUUUAAUUUCAAGAAAUAUCAUGGCAAAUUAAUUUCAAGAAAUUACAUGGCAAAUAGAGUGGAUAUGCGACCUUGACUUGAUAGGUAACCUCUUAAAAUCAGCUAAAUUCCACUUUCACGGUCUAAUGCUAUGAAAUAUCUUCUAAGUCAAGCCGUCUAAUUUUGAAUAUGGAAAUGUCAGUAUAUUUUUUCCUUGAAAAAUCUCAUUAAAAAAUCUCCAAACUAUGAGGUUAAUUUCACUUAGGUCCUCAUGUCUUCUUAAUUUCAAGAAAUUGCAUGGCAAAUAGAGUGGAUGUGCGACCUUAACUUGAUAGGUAACCUCUUAAAAUCAGCUAGAUUCCACUUUCACAGUCUAAUGCUAUGAAAUAUCUUCUAAGUCAAGCCGUCUAAUUUUGAAUAUGGAAAUGUCAAUAUAUUUUUUCUUUGAAAAAUCUCAUUAAAAAAUCUCCAAACCGUGAGGUUAAUUUCACUUAGGUCCUCGUGUCUUCUUAAUUUCAAGAAAUAUCAUGGCAAAUUAAUUUCAAGAAAUUGCAUGGCAAAUAGAGUGGAUGUUCGAUCUUGACUUGAUAGGUAACCUCUUAAAGUCAGCUAGAUUCCACCUUCACAGUCUAAGUCUAAUGCUAUGAAGUAUUUUCUAAGUUAAGCCGUCUAAUUUUGAAUAUGGAAAUAUGAGUAUAUUUUUUUCUUGAAAAAUCUCUUAAAAAAUCUCCAAAUUGUGAGGUUAAUUUCACUUAGGUCAUGGCAAAUUAAUUUCAAGAAAUUACAUGGCAAAUAAAGUGGAUGUGCAACCUUGACUUGAUAGAUAACCUUUUAAAGUCAACUAAAUUUCACUUUUACAGUCUAAUGCUAUGAAGUAUCUUCUAAGUCAAAUCACCUAAUUUUAAAUAUAAAAAUAUCAAAAUAUUUUUUCCUUGAAAAAUCUCAAUAAAAAAUCUUCAAACUAUGAGGUUAAUUUCACUUACUUCCUCGUGUAUUUUUACUUUCAAGAAAUAUCGUGGUAAAUUAGUUUAAAGAAAUUGCAUGGCAAAUAGAGUGAAUGUGCACCCUUGUUGACUUGAUAGGUAACCUAUUAAAGUCAGCUAGAUUUCACUUUCACAGUCUAAUAUUGCGGGGACCACUUGUGAAAUUUACUUGCACUUGCCAUGUGGCAGAGGUUUGUGUACUAGUAGCUGCCUGCCGAAAAUCAUCCGCUGGUGAGACAACGAAUUACCUCACGCAUUACACAAACCCUUUUAAAUCAAAAUCAAAAUUAAUAUUAAAAAAAAAAAGGUAAAGGGCGAAGGCAGGUUGUUUUAGCCCAAAGGAACCAUUGUUACUUGGCCAUUGAUGAUUGAACCUUUACGGAUUUCUUUUUUUGUGGUUGUCUAAAUGUCGGGGCGACAAUAAAAAUUUCCUUCCCAGAGACAUAUAAUCGAAGUCCUUGUCAAUGAGCAUGGGUAACUCAUAGAUUUUACAAGGGAAGUGAAGCUCAUGGCCGCGAAACGUUAAUAUGCUGAAGUUAUUAGCCAUCGUUUUUUUUCUGUUUCAGGUAAUAUCUAAUGAAGAAAGAGUAUGUUGGAAAAACGAGUCACUAUUGGAUUACUAACAGCUUCUAAGCUUACAUGUGUUCUCAAGAAGAAAGGAAUACGAUAGCGUGUUGCCUGUUUAUGAUAUGCUUUUCAGUGGUCAAAUGGCAUACACCAGAAUGUUUGUCCAGCAAUUGUUUUGCUUUCAGAAGGAGAUCACCUGGAAUAUUACAUUGCAAAAUGGAGAUACGAUAAAGAGUUUCAAUGCGGAUUGAAUAUUGGACAUACUGUCAGAAAUUCUUCGUCUUUUAAAAUUACAGGACCACUAUAACAAAAACAGAACUGGACUGAAAUAUUGAAAAGAAAAGCAUUGCCAUGGCGCAAGCUAUUAUUCAAAGCAAACUAUCAAGCGAAGCUGUGACACUAGAAUAAAAUGUUCAUCUGCCACCAUCCAGUGAUUGCAUUAAAUAAUUCUGUAAACUGUGAUAUCCAGCACUUGUACCAGCCAUUUCCUCAAAACGAGCAGUUUCCACUGAUUUACCAAGCAAGUACUCUGUCUCUUCUACAUUUGAUUCGUCAUUAGUCCAAGGAUGUUUUGCAGAUGUUCUUAGCCCCUCUAAUUCCAUUGCUACAUUCUUCAUGUUGGGUCUUCCCUCUCCUUUUACUCUUAAGCACUUCUUUGCAAUGUUGGCAACUCCCUUCAGCUGCCUAAUAUUAUCCUGCUUCACCAUGCUAUCCUGAAGAAUAUGGACCAGGCGAUCUUUUUUCAGUGCACAAAGAAAAUACGCCGAUAAAUUCCUCUCCCCUCAGGCUUAUCGAAGGAAAUUGCCUUCAUCCCAGUUAGUAGUUCCACAAGAACCACUCCAAAACUGUAAACAUCACUUUUGUCCGUCAGUUGGCUUGUGUGCAAGUACUCAGGGUCUAAGUAUCCUAGAGUGCCUUGCA